UUCUUCUCGCUGAUUCUUCACUGAAGUUCAUAUCCCUAAUUCCUUAUUCUUCUAACUGAACUGUUGAUUACACAUGCCUUGAGUAGUCUUUCAAGUUUCUAGGAGGAAGAGAUCUCUGCAUACAUACUGUCCCGGCGGUGAAGAAAAGCCGAUCAAAAGUGUAUAAGAUCUGUGAUAUUCAAAACAAGAACUACAAGGCGGCGGUGGUGGCACCAUUAAAGGAAACUUCAAGGUCUGAGUCGGCUACAUCAACAGUAUCCAGUGAGCCGAGUGGAUGAGCCGUCAGUCAUAUGCAUUUGACAGGAGCUGUCACACUGCAAGAAAGAAAAUAAGAAUGAUGAUGAAGAGGAGGCGGAGGAUUAUGAUGACAACACCUCCUGAAUUUCCUGACAAUGAUAAUGUUAUUACUACUUCUAUUCCCAGUCCCCGACCUAGUCCUGAAUUAUUAGUUAUCCCAUCAGCUUACAUUAUGCACCGAGCUGAAGCCAUACUCAAGGUUCUCUCUGACAAUACUGCUGCUUCAGAGACUGAGAUUCAUCAAGUACUUGGUGACAACCCUACCACCAGCAAAACUCUAAUAAUGUUGUUGAAGGGAAAAGCAGUCAAGAGAUCUGGUGCAUGAGGCUCUAGGGAUCCUUAUGUUUAUAUGACACUUUACUGAACGAUUCUGUUUUACAUAUAUUUACUUAUGUGAUGAUUAUUAUUAAGACAACAAUACUAGUAAUACUACCUCUCUGGUGGUGGUGGUGUUGCUGUUGUUUACAACUCUCUCUUGUAUUGAAGCACAAAUUACGACUCAUAUCGAAGAUAUGCAAACAUUUUGGAGGGAGGAAGACAAGAAGGAAAGGCA